GACGAACGCUGGCGGCGUGCCUAAUACAUGCAAGUAGAACGCUGAAGGAGGAGCUUGCUUCUCCGGAUGAGUUGCGAACGGGUGAGUAACGCGUAGGUAACCUGCCUGGUAGCGGGGGAUAACUAUUGGAAACGAUAGCUAAUACCGCAUAAGAGUAGAUGUUGCAUGACAUUUGCUUAAAAGGUGCAAUUGCAUCACUACCAGAUGGACCUGCGUUGUAUUAGCUAGUUGGUGGGGUAACGGCUCACCAAGGCGACGAUACAUAGCCGACCUGAGAGGGUGAUCGGCCACACUGGGACUGAGACACGGCCCAGACUCCUACGGGAGGCAGCAGUAGGGAAUCUUCGGCAAUGGACGGAAGUCUGACCGAGCAACGCCGCGUGAGUGAAGAAUGGUUUUCGGAUCGUAAAGCUCUGUUGUAAGAGAUAGAACGAUGUGUGAUGAUGUGGAAAGUUCACGCUGUG
rnacentral:rRNA from 1 species